UGAGGAAUAUUGGACAAUGGGCGCAAGCCUGAUCCAGCCAUGCCGCGUGCAGGAUGACGGUCCUAUGGAUUGUAAACUGCUUUUGUACGAGAAGAAACACUCCUACGUGUAGGAGCUUGACGGUAUCGUAAGAAUAAGGAUCGGCUAACUCCGUGCCAGCAGCCGCGGUAAUACGGAGGAUCCAAGCGUUAUCCGGAAUCAUUGGGUUUAAAGGGUCCGUAGGCGGUUUGGUAAGUCAGUGGUGAAAGCCCAUCGCUCAACGGUGGAACGGCCAUUGAUACUGCCAGACUUGAAUUAUUAGGAAGUAACUAGAAUAUGUAGUGUAGCGGUGAAAUGCUUAGAGAUUACAUGGAAUACCAAUUGCGAAGGCAGGUUACUACUAAUGGAUUGACGCUGAUGGACGAAAGCGUGGGUAGCGA
rnacentral:rRNA from 1 species